rnacentral:rRNA from 1 species
GACGAACGCUGGCGGCGUGCUUAACACAUGCAAGUCGAACGGCAACGCCCUGCUUUUGUGGGGUGCUCGAGUGGCGAACGGGUGAGUAACACGUGAGUAACCUGCUCUUGAUUUUGGGAUAACUUCAGGAAACUGAGGCUACUCCCAGAUAGGAGCUCACCUAGCAUGGUGGGGGUUGGAAAGUUUCGGCGGUCGGGGUUGGACUAGCGGCUUAUCAGCUUGUUGGUUGGGUAGUGGCUGACCAACCCAUUGACUGGUAGCCGGCCUGUGAGGGUGACCGGCCACAUUGGGACUGAGAUACGGCCCAGACUCGUACGGGAGGCAGCAGUGGGGAAUAUUGCACAAUGGGCGGAAGCCGGAUGCAGCAACGCCGCGUGCGGGAUGACGGCCUGCGGGUUGUAAACCGCUUUCGCCUGUGACGAAGCGUGAGUGACGGUAAUGGGUAAAGAAGCACCGGCUAACUACGUG